rnacentral:lncRNA from 1 species
UAAAUGACUUGAAAGUAGAGCAAUAUUAAUAAGAGUUAGUCAAUGGUUAGUAAAAUUUUAGUGGUGAAUUUUAAUUGAUUAAGUCAUUCUUUGGAGAACACUCAACCAUUCAUUCACAAGUAUGAAUCCUUAAACCAAGACAUCUUCCAUAGGAAGGGCUCCAACUUGGAUAAUUCAACAAGUAUGCCACUAGCUCUCAUGAAAGGAAAAAAGUU